GACGAACGCUGGCGGCGUGCCUAAUACAUGCAAGUAGAACGCACAGUUUAUACCGUAGCUUGCUACACCAUAGACUGUGAGUUGCGAACGGGUGAGUAACGCGUAGGUAACCUGCCUGGUAGCGGGGGAUAACUAUUGGAAACGAUAGCUAAUACCGCAUAAUAUUGAUUAUUGCAUGAUAAUUAAUUGAAAGGUGCAAUUGCACCACUACCAGAUGGCCCUGCGUUGUAUUAGCUAGUAGGUGAGGUAACGGCUCACCUAGGCGACGAUACAUAGCCGACCUGAGAGGGUGAUCGGCCACACUGGGACUGAGACACGGCCCAGACUCCUACGGGAGGCAGCAGUAGGGAAUCUUCGGCAAUGGACGAAAGUCUGACCGAGCAACGCCGCGUGAGUGAAGAAGGUUUUCGGAUCGUAAAGCUCUGUUGUAAGAGAAGAACGGGUGUGAGAGUGGAAAGUUCACACUGUGACGGUAUCUGACCAGAAAGGGACGGCUAACUACGUG
rnacentral:rRNA from 1 species